rnacentral:lncRNA from 1 species
ACACCCUCAUCCCCACCGCCAGCCUGCACUCACACCCGCACUCACGCUCACCCUCACCCACUCACAGCCUUCUCAGCUCACCAACCCGCACUCAGGAUGCACGCGGACGCUCAGCCCCCACGGAGACUCACCCACGCCCCCACUCACUCCCCCGAGCCUGCACUCGCACCCCUCACACUCACACUCACCCCCAAACUCAUCCACCUGCUCCAGCACCCUCAGCCCCACUGAACGCCACCCCACUCACAGCCACCCCCACACAAGCACUCCACUCGCCCGCCCACACCAGCCUGUGCUCACAACCCCUUGCACAAUCCUUCACCCCCACACACCAUCACCCACCCCUCCUCACUCACACUCACCCUCACCACCCUCACUCACACUCACAAACCUGCACUCACCCCUCGCUCACACCUGCCUCACUCACACUCACCAUCACCACCCUCAUUCACAUCCUCACUCACCUUCACCACUCUCUUACACCAUCGCUCACACCUGCCUCGCUCAGUCACCUUCACCACCCUCACUCACACUCACACACCAUCACUCACACCUGCCUCACUCACACUCACCAUCACCACCCUCAUUCACAUCCUCACUCACUCACCUUCACCACCCUCAUACACCAUCGCUCACACCUGCCUCACUCACACUCACCUUCACCACCGUGACUCACACAUCAUCACUCACACCCUCACUAUCAUUCAACUUCACCAUCACUCACACUCACAAACCACCACUCAUACCCUCGCUCACACUCACCUUCACCACCCUCACUUACACUUGCACACCAUCACUCACACCCUCGCUCUCACUUACCUUCACCAUCACUCACACUCUCGCUCACAUUUACGUUCACCACCCUCACUCACACACCACUCACACCCUUACUCACACUCACCUUCACCACCCUCACUCACACACCAUCACUCACACCCUUACCCUUGCCUCACUCUCACUCACCUUCACCCUCACUCGCACUCAUACCCCAUCACUCACCCCUUGCUCACACUCGCCUCACUUCCACUCACCCUCACCACCCUCACUCAACGCCCUCACUCAAGUCCAUCAAUCACUCAUCACUCACACUCCCCCACUCACNNNNNNNNNNNNNNNNNNNNNNNNNNNNNNNNNNNNNNNNNNNNNNNNNNNN